CUUCAGCCGAGAGUACAUCCUGGAGUGUUCUGCGGAAAUGCUGCACAUGAGAAUCUCUACAAGUGAUGACUCUGAUGAGCGUACUCGGGCUUUCCUUUCUCUGGCUUUUGAUGGCGCUGACGAGGCUUCUCAGGCUUUCCGUAGCUCCGCUGUUGAUGGCACUGAGGAGACUUUUUCAAGAUUUCCUUACUGCAGCUGUAACCACAGAGGAGCUGACCUCUCCAGAUAUGCCUGCUGACGAGCCAACCCAAGCUUAUCCUUCUACAUCAACAGUCUGUGACAAAGAGGUGAUGAAGACCUGGAGACCCUCAGUUGGGAGGAACCCCUAUCAACAUGGGUGUCCCUAGAUGUUACGCUUUGUAUUAAACUGACCAUCUUAUACCUUCUCAAC